AUACGGGGGGAGCGAACGUUGUUCGGAAUCACUGGGCGUAAAGCGCACGUAGGCGGCUUGUCAAGUCAGAUGUGAAAGCCCACGGCUCAACCGUGGAAGUGCAUUUGAAACUGGCAGGAUAGAAUAUGGGAGAGGGUUGUAGAAUACCAGGUGUAGAGGUGAAAUUCGUAGAGAUCUGGUAGAAUACCGGUGGCGAAGGCGGCAACCUGGACCAAUAUUGACGCUGAGGUGCGAAAGCGUGGGGAGCGAACAGGAUUAGAAACCCGAGUAGUCC
rnacentral:rRNA from 1 species